AAAACGAUGACGAAGUUCGGCAAUAAAAAAAUGUAUGGGAUGACAUAAGCCUUCGCUAAAUCACGUGAUCGAUCGAGAUCGAUAACAAAAUUGGUAGACAAUGUUUACAUUCAUGUCGAAAACGAAACGAAAUCGUCAAUUAGCGAAUUGUUUAUUCGCCUAUUUCAAUACAAAUGCGUAGCCAAGCGGCACUUUUGACGUUCGCUUUCUCUUCGGGAGCGAUCGUUCGAUUCGACAUGUGUUCGCCAUAAUAACGAAAGCUUGGGGGCUGUCGAUAUCGCUACAAAAUGGCCGAAAAUUACAGUCAGCUGUGAUUUGUGUACAAGGGCUACGUUGCGUUAAUACAGUUUUAUUUAUAUAAAAAUGCAUUCUUUACGUUUAUUGUGGGCUGCACAUAAUGAGAAUACCUGGGUGAGGCGUCAAAGGCGAUUUUCAUCAAGAAGACAUAUGGAAACGAUUGAAGAUAUACCGGAAUUGUUGUUUAUACAACAUUUCAGGCUUGAUAAAAAAACUUUUCGACGAUUAUGCGACGAACUAAAAAGAUAUACUGGAUUGAAAGGAUCCAAUGAAAUUUCCCUGGAAGUGAAGGUGCUGUGUACUCUAAGCUUUUUAGCCACAGGGUUAUACCAGACAAUUGUAGGUGUGGGACAAUAUUUGACACAACGGACUACAAGUCGCUGUGUCAGGGAGGUUGUGAAUUCUUUAAAUCACAAUUGGAUGGUCAGCAGGUGGAUAAUGUUUCCACAAACACCACAUGGGAGAUCUUUAAUCAAAGAGAAAUAUGCGAUUUCGAUUUAAAAAUAGUUAAUGUCAAUUCAAAAUUUGGUGGUGCUACACAUGACUCCCACAUAUGGUCCGCUAGUCAUGUAGAGACUUUCAUGCGAGGGCUUCAUGAAAGUGGUGAACAUGUUUGGUUAUUAGGGGAUUCUGGAUAUCCACAGCGACCUUGGUUGAUGACGCUUAUACUAGAUGCUGAACAAGGGUCCCAAGAAGAAAUAUAUACCAGACGUCAUGUGCAAGCCAGAUCUCGCAUAGAACGAUGUUUUGGAUUACUGAAGGCUCGUUGGAGGUGUAUGCUUUGACACCGUGUUCUUCACUAUCAGCCUUACGUGGCUAGCAGAAUUAUUAACGCAUGUUGUGUAUUGCAUAAUAUUGCAAUACAUGCUAAACUACCUGCUCCAACAGAUAUGCCAGCUGAGGCUCUUGAUGGUAGUGAAGAUCAAAGUAUACAGCAUAACACCUCUACAACCAACACUAAUCAAAACGAGUUAAUUCGAGGAAGGGCUAUGUGAAAUUAUCUAGUCAGUAGAAUGCAGCAUUCUACUGACUAGAUAAUUCUGUCUGUAUAUAAUUUAUAGUUUCAUUUUAUUUAAGCUUAAGUAUAUUUUUUUAAGUUAGUAUCAAAUGAAAAAGAAAAUAAUAAUAAUAAUAUAACAAUUUUAAUAAGUA